CCCCGUAACUUCGGGAGAAGGGGUGCUCUUUAGGGUGCAAGCCCAGAAGAGCCGCAGUGAAUAGGCCCAAGCGACUGUUUAUCAAAAACACAGGUCUCUGCUAAACCGUAAGGUGAUGUAUAGGGGCUGACGCCUGCCCGGUGCUGGAAGGUUAAGAGGAGUGGUUAGCUUCUGCGAAGCUACGAAUCGAAGCCCCAGUAAACGGCGGCCGUAACUAUAACGGUCCUAAGGUAGCGAAAUUCCUUGUCGGGUAAGUUCCGACCCGCACGAAAGGCGUAACGAUUUGGGCACUGUCUCAACGAGAGACUCGGUGAAAUCAUAGUAC
rnacentral:rRNA from 1 species